CUUUUAUUGUGAGCAUUGCAAACGUCAAGGGCACACCAAAGACCGCUGUUGGGUGGUUAAUCCUCAUCUAAAACCAUCAAGGUAUAAAGACGCUCCUCGUCGCGGUUCUGCAAUGACCGCCGGUCAUGAUACCACUUCAAACGAUGGAACCAUCAGCCUCACAACUGAUGAGAUGAGAGGCCUUAAACAACUUCUUCAAUCUCUCAACAAAGAGACUGGAUAUUAACUCAGACCAUGUGUUUGGAAAUGGCACAAGGACGGGCAAUCUCUUUUACAUCGCAGAAUCUCAUUCUAGUUUUUUCUCCGUUUCACCUAGUGUGUGGCAUGCUCGCUUUGGACAUCCACACUCUAAAGUUUUACAUUUACUUGUUCCCAACGUUAAGUCAUUUGAACACAUUUGUGAAGCUUGUACUUUAGGGAAACAUUGUCGAACGGUUUUUCCGAUUUCCUCUACUAUCUAUGAGCAUGCUUUUGAUUUAGUUCA